rnacentral:lncRNA from 1 species
CAGUAUUGAAGGGUCUGCUAUCGAUUUUUUUGUUUGGUAAUGGGAAGUUUGUUGUGUAUCAGGAGUUAAGUGAUUUUGAAUUUUUUAACUUAAUAAAUCAUUCUUAUAUUUAGUAAUCUCUAAUGGGUUUUUUAGUUAUGGUGCUAAAUAUCUAAUGCAUUUUCAUUUAUUUUUUAUUGCAAGGUUUUAACAAUAAUGGCAAUUUGCUACUGUGGAUAUUUAUGUUAAAGACCUCAAGAUUAUAUUUAUUAAUUCAGUUAAACAACAUGAUGAAAACUACAUGGUUGCUUCAGUGGAUGUUGAUCUUUUUCAUAUCAAGAUUAAACCGAUAUCAUUGGAUGUGGUUUCCUUUGCGUACUAAAGAAUCGACUCUUUCUAUCUAUGGAUGUCACAGUUUUGUUUGCUUCAAAAUCUAGGCUUUUUUCAAAGCCACAAUUCUGUUAAAAACAUUACUGAGCAAAAAAAAAAUUUUUUUGUUAAAGAAGUGUGUUUUAAAAUAGUUUUAGUUUUUGCGGUUUGUUGGAACUUAUAUAUAAUUAGAUAUAUGGGGCUAUGGAAGGGAAAAGGAAGGGGAGCAGUGGUGGACAUCCCCCCACCCACCCCACCCAUUUGUUUAGUUGGAUAUUUUUUUAGUAGGUUUUUAGUUAAACUAUAUGAUGUAAUUGACACGGCUUUUAAAGUGGGGAGGGGGGCCAACUCCCUAAUUUAAAAAUUCU